ACCCCCGAAACUAAGUGAGCUACUUCGAGGCAGUUUUAAGAACGACCCCAUCUCUGUUGCAAAAGAGUGGGAUGACCUCCAAGUAGAGGCGACAAACCUACCGCACUUAGAGAUAGCUGGUUACUCAAGAAAAGAAUUUAAGUUCAACCUAAAGUUUUCUAAUUACACAAAAAUACAAUAAAACUUUAGAGCUACUCAAAUAAGGCACAGCUUAUUUGAAAUAGGACCCAACCUACAACAUCGGGUAAUAUAAACAAGCAAGUAACAAGUGGGCCUAAGAGCAGCCACCUACAAAAAGCGUUAAAGCUUAAUACUUAAACUGUAUUAAUACCACCACUACCCUAGAACCCCCCCACCAAUAUUGAGUAAUUCCAUAAACAUAUGGAAGCUAUUAUGCUAGAAUGAGUAACAAGAAAUAGCUUUUCUCCUAAAUGUAAGCUUAAGCCAUAAUAGACCAACUACCGGCAAUUAACGCAUAUGAAAACGCUACAGCAACCCAAACAAGAAAAUCCUGUAUCAACUCACGUUAACCUUACACCAGAACAUUUAAGGAAAGAUUAAAAGAAAAAGAAGGAACUC
rnacentral:rRNA from 1 species